CGGUGAAUAGCGCAGUUUGGUAGCGCAUCUGGUUUGGGACCAAAGGGUCGGGGGUUCGAAUCCCUCUUCACCGACCA
rnacentral:tRNA from 1 species